rnacentral:rRNA from 1 species
AUUGAACGCUGGCGGCAGGCCUAACACAUGCAAGUCGAGCGAGCGGCGGACGGGUGAGUAAUGUAUGGGGACUGACCGAUGGAGGGGGAUAACUACUGGAAACGGUGGCUAAUACCGCAUACUAUCGGAUAACCCAUAUGGGAUUAGCUAGUGGGUGGGGUAAAGGCUCACCUAGGCGACGAUCUCUAGCUGGUCUGAGAGGAUGAUCAGCCACACUGGGACUGAGACACGGCCCAGACUCCUACGGAGGCAGCAGUGGGGAAUCUUCCGCAAUGGGCGCAAGCCUGACGGAGCAACGCCGCGUGAGUGAAGAAGGUUUUCGGAUCGUAAAGCUCUGUUGUUAGAGAAGCGUUAUCUUAACAGAAAGCAACGGCUAACUACGUGCCAGCAGCCGCGGUAAUAC